CAAAUCUGUAGUUGGCUCCUAGACAUGUCCACUACGCUGUCUGCUAUAUUAUACCUAUGUACGUUGUAUAUUUAUAUUCAAUGAAAAAUAAUCUUGUGUCUGUUUGUGCUUGCAGGAGUCCGUGUGUCAACUGAAGACAUCUGAUAAGAGUGUCUUCACUCUGAUAAGAGUGUCACCACUGUCACUUCCUGACACUGAUGAUAUCAGAUUGCAGGCUGAGGACUCCUCAGAAUUAAAACAUGCAACGUGUUUUUUCCAGCUGAUAUAGCAGAACCGACUCCUGAGAGCAGACGUAUCUGAAGCUGUCAGGGAGGAACCGUGGCUACCAUCUCUGAACCGGACCCUGGACUCUCUGAGGAACCUGAGGACACGUCUUUGGACCGGAGGGAGCGCAAGAGAAGAUUUGCUGGUAGAGCAAAGAAGAAGGCUAAGUCCAGACGCCGUGGAAGCCGUCAGAGAGUAACAAUGGUCACCAUCUCGGACCGGGGAGGAGACCAAGAAGAGAAGAUUUGCUGGUAGAGCAAAGAAGAAGGCUAAGUCCAGACGCCGUGGAAGCCGUCAGAGAGUAA